ACCCUUUAAUGUUUGAUGUUCUAACGUGGACCCGUAAUCCGGGUUGCGGACAGUGUCUGGUGGGUAGUUUGACUGGGGCGGUCUCCUCCUAAAGAGUAACGGAGGAGCACGAAGGUUGGCUAAUCCUGGUCGGACAUCAGGAGGUUAGUGCAAUGGCAUAAGCCAGCUUGACUGCGAGCGUGACGGCGCGAGCAGGUGCGAAAGCAGGUCAUAGUGAUCCGGUGGUUCUGAAUGGAAGGGCCAUCGCUCAACGGAUAAAAGGUACUCCGGGGAUAACAGGCUGAUACCGCCCAAGAGUUCAUAUCGACGGCGGUGUUUGGCACCUCGAUGUCGGCUCAUCACAUCCUGGGGCUGAAGUAGGUCCCAAGGGUAUGGCUGUUCGCCAUUUAAAGUGGUACGCGAGCUGGGUUUAGAACGUCGUGAGACAGUUCGGUCCCUAUCUGCCGUGGGCGCUGGAGAACUGAGGGGGGCUGCUCCUAGUACGAGAGGACCGGAGUGGACGCAUCACUGGUGUUCGGGUUGUCAUGCCAAUGGCACUGCCCGGUAGCUAAAUGCGGAAGAGAUAAGUGCUGAAAGCAUCUAAGCACGAAACUUGCCCCGAGAUGAGUUCUCCCUGAGACUUUAGGUCUCCUGAAGGAACGUUGAAGACGACGACGUUGAUAGGCCGGGUGUGUAAGCGCAGCGAUGCGUUGAGCUAACCGGUACUAAUGAACC
rnacentral:rRNA from 1 species